AAAGAUAUAUUGAAGAAAGAAACGCCACGUUAUCCGAUAUCUAUUUAUACAAAUUUCUUUUCGUAUUUUAUAUUGUUUAUCUUAAGAAAGAACGGAAAAUCAGUAACUCGCUUUGGCUUACUCCCGCCUCCCGGACGCCCUAAAAAUAAAUUCUAUGAUUUUAUCCGCUAUUUUUUUGUUACCGACAUGUAUAAAUUUUAAAAUUGUAGUACCACCCUCAUAAGUUUUUGAUUGAACAAAAGUACAGGCUACAGGUAAGCGCUAAAAAAAUUUUAAACGAACUUUUUUUUAAGUUUAAAUCGCCUUAAAGAUGUAUACAUUUUUGUUAGUCUAGUGAACUAAACUCAUCAUUUUCUCCUUUUCGAUAUUUUUGAUGAUAGAAGGGAGAGGGUAAAAAAAAACAGGGCAUUAGCAAAAACAGGGAAGAGAAACAGACAGAAAUGUUAUCAUUUCACUGGAUAUCGUUAUUUGCACUUAUUCUGACGAAUUGUUUAUUAAUUCACUCGAUGCGUGUUGCAGAGGGGGCACAAGAUGAGUUGACACUACUUGAUUUGAUGUAUAAGGACAACACGAUGGAGGAGAAAGCGAAGAAGAACUUAGAUAUUAAAAAUCUGAAAAAGUUUAUCAAAUAUGUUGUGUUAGACGAAGUUAGGAAACAAAAGCGUCCAAAAGUCGCAAAAGGUUUAUGGGGAAAACGUUCUUUCUAUUUUUGAAAGCAGUUAUAUUUUUCAUUGUAUAUUUUCAUACUUAUUAUUGAGAUACAUUUUUUUUAUUUGU